AUUGGAACAUCAGGUGGUUCAAACAAAACUUGAAUUGGCACUGGAGAUUUUGGCAAUGAUGAGAUGGUGAAGACCGCAGCACUGUUUAAGAAGAAGUCUCAGCAUAGGACCUCAGUAGCUUUGGGGAAGGAACCUGUGGACACCAACAAAUGCAGAGUGCUUUGAGCAGGAAUCAUCCACUACUGAGGACCCAAUGCCCCACCAAGCGAACCUUGCCCUCCCACAGAAGAACACUUCGCGAAGCUACCAACUCACUCACCUUUGCUCUGACGCAGUACUAUUAUGAUGUGCAGUAAGAAGGUGCUAUAAAUUAAAACUAAACAAGAUAAAGGGGAUGGAAAGUUACUGGGGUUUUGUGUUUGUGCUAUUUUAUAUAGUUGUAUAGAAUGUCAAGGAAGCUUUUUCUGAUAAGGUGAGAAUUGAGUGGAAAUCUGUAGAAGUAGGGGAGCAAACCAUAUGGAUGUCUGGGAGAGCCUUUUGGGCCAAGGGAACAGCAAAAGGGAGGCCAGUGGGCGGAGCAGAAUGAAUAGGUGGGAGAAUGGUGGGAAAGAAGUCAGAGGGGAAGCUGAAGCUUGUAUGUCGGGUCUUCCAGGAUUGGGAUGGAAGGGUCAGGGAUAAGGAGUAAGUAGAAUCUGAGGGUACCAGACUGUGACAGGAUCAUAGAAGGCUUUUAGUAAUGGGAGAAAUGCUCAGGGAAACCCAGUGAGAGGUAUUUUGCAUUGUGAUAUCCAUGACAACACAAGUGCUGAAGCGGGGGGACAGUUAGACAUAAUUAGAUAAUACAGAGAGCUUACCAAGCCUCACCUUACCAAGGUAAGGGUUCAUGGUAUAACUAUGGAACCCCUCUGUGUAUGUGAAGGGGUGGGCUAGGGUGGAGCCAAGAAACUGAAAGAAUAAUGGAGAAAAUACCAAGGAAGGUGAAUAGAAAACAGAAGGCUGAAUAGGCUUAAGUGAGAAGAGCUUGGAAAUCGAAGAAAGGGAGAAGGAUCAGGAUAGGGGAAGGGAGUGAGAAACUGUUUGUCAAAUGGCCACAAUUUGCCCAGAUCUUUACAUCUGUAUUUUAAUGUGGUUUUAAAGCAAUACUAAGAGGUGGGUAUUAAUUGUCCCCAUUUUAGAGAUAAGAAAUUUGCAAACCCAGAAAAAUUAAGUAACUUGACAGAGGUGAUAAACUACCACUAGGAAUAGUAGGAGAGGGCAACUUCAUUAUUUUAUGUUCAGUUCUUACCUAUUUUCUCAUGUUGCUGUAUCAGUUCAUUCCUGAUAUUAUAUUUGCAGAAACAAAAUUAUGUUACAGGUAGGAAGACAACAACAGAAAGAUGGCAAAGCGGCAGGCUGAGUAGAAUUUUGUCCACUGGGUUCUCACUGUUGGAUUACCCACCUGGCCUUACAAAAAAUGCCACAAGAUGGCAGCAUCUUAUUCAUUAAGGGAGCGGGGGAGGCAAUCAUGCUCCAAGGUUUUAGUACAGAAAAAUUGAAGAAAAAGUAAUGUACAUUAUAAUCCAUAUUUAGAAACUGACCCGUAUUAACCAGAAAUAUUUGUUGAGAAAUAGAGUAAAGGCCUCUAAGUUCACAGAAAUACAUCCAUCUGCAGGCAUUUUGAUCUUGACAUUUAUAAGCAUUCCCAGUGCUGUAUGGGAGUCAUGUAACAUGGUAGAAUGUAGUGGUUAAGUUUCCACUUGGACAUCAGAGAGAUCUGUGUUAAAAUUCUAGCUCUGACACUUAACUAUAUGGUAUUGGGCAAAUGAAAAUCUAUCUAAAUUCAUUUCUUCAUCUGUAAAAUUUCUACCCCUUAGGUUUAUUUUGAAUAUUACAUAGCACAUAAUUAGCUCUUGGUGAAGUGCCUGACACCACUCAAUAAAAAGUAGUCAUUAUGUAAUAA